rnacentral:rRNA from 1 species
CCAUAAAAUGCACUGCUUGUGCGUUGCUUCGUUGGAUCAUGUACUUGUACGUGUUCUUACGUUACUUGCUCAGCUCGGCUGUGGGUUUUUGGUGUGCUGGCGCGAACUUGUGGUUCUAAUUCGCGUUUUACGGACCGUAACUCGGGCGCACCAGUCCUUCGCAUGCUGUGGCGGAGUGCCUGGCUUACUGGCAUUCCUGCUUUGAUUU